UACACUCCUGCGGGAGGCAGCAGUGGGGAAUUUUGGACAAUGGGCGAAAGCCUGAUCCAGCAAUGCCGCGUGUGUGAAGAAGGCCUUCGGGUUGUAAAGCACUUUUGUCCGGAAAGAAAUCCUUGGCUCUAAUACAGUCGGGGGAUGACGGUACCGGAAGAAUAAGCACCGGCUAACUACGUGCCAGCAGCCGCGGUAAUACGUAGGGUGCGAGCGUUAAUCGGAAUUACUGGGCGUAAAGCGUGCGCAGGCGGUUUGCUAAGACCGAUGUGAAAUCCCCGGGCUCAACCUGGGAACUGCAUUGGUGACUGGCAGGCUAGAGUAUGGCAGAGGGGGGUAGAAUUCCACGUGUAGCAGUGAAAUGCGUAGAGAUGUGGAGGAAUACCGAUGGCGAAGGCAGCCCCCUGGGCCAAUACUGACGCUCAUGCACGAAAGCGUGGGGAGCAAACAGGAUUAGAUACCCGGGUAGUCC
rnacentral:rRNA from 1 species